GUACUCUGGCAGUAGAGAUACUAAAAUUGAACCAAAGAUUAGCAGGGUCUCUACACAAGGAGAAUAUGAAAAUUCCUGAGAUCAUCUGUAUUUUA
ensembl:snRNA Gm25657 predicted gene, 25657